GCUCUCUGACCUCCUAGCACAGCCCCAUUCCUGAGUCACCAUUCAAUACCUAGAAACUCAUUUUAACAAGGAACCCCCAGUGGACACUCCUAUCCGGAUUCCAGAAGAAUCCCCUACCAAGCAGCACACAGCCACCUCACAAGAACCAGAGACCACAACAGAAACCAAGGAACAAAACACUCACCCAACAAAGACAAGAACAGAUGUUAGCACCUAGAAGUACAAUGUUCCCAAACACAGCUGCCUAGCUUCCAUUAUAAAAACACAUUGACAGUGACAGUAGAACCCAGCAACCCUUCUACAGCAGGCUCUGAGUAUUGCACCAUAGCCGAAGCACAGUAAAAAGACCCUAAAAUAGCUUUUAUGAAUAUGAUAGAGAAAUGGAAAAAUGCUUUAAAUAAAUCUUAUGAAAACACACAUUGGAAGGAAUAGAAUAAAACUGUUCAAAAACCUGAAAGUGGAAAUAAGAUCUCAAUAAAGAUCACCCAAACUGAGGGAAAUCUGUAGGUGAAAAAUAUAGGAACUGAAACAUGAGCCUCAAAGGAAAGUCUCAGCAACAGAAUACAGGAGAUGGAAGAGAGACUCUCAGGCCUCCAAGACACAAUAGAAGAAAUGGAUACCUUUGUCAAAGAAAAUGUUAAAUCUAAAACAUACCUGGCACAAAAAAAAAAAAAAAAUCAGAAAAUCUGAGAUGCAAUGAAAAGAACAAAUUUAAAAGUAAUUGGAAUAGAGGAAGGAAAUGGAACAUUGGACAAAGGCACAGAAAACAUCUUUAGCAAAAUCAUUGAAGAAAAUUCCCCUGAUCAUCAAGGAGAUGCCUGUCAAGAUACAAUAAACAUAGAGAAAACAAAACAAGACUGGACUAGAAAAGAAAGCACCCUCAGCACAUAAUAGUCAAAACACUAAACGUACAAAACAAAAGAUCUUCAAGGGGAGAAGUCCAGGCAGUAUAUAAAGGCUGACCUUAUUAGGAUAACAUCUGAGUUACCAAUGGAAUCUUUAAAAGCUAGAGGGACCUAGACAGUCUACAGUCUCUAAGAGACCACAGAUGCCAGUCCAGACUACUACUAUAUUCAGCAAAACGGAAUGACCAAAAAAUAUAGAGAAUAAGACACUCCAUGAUAGAGCCAUUUAAGCAACAUCUAUCUACAGACGCAACCCUACAAAAGAAACUACAAGGAGAAUGCCAACCUAAAGAGGUUAACUACACCCAAGAAAGCACAUACUUGCCACAACAGCAACACAAGAGGGAUUGACAAACCCUGCUCACUCUUAAAGGAGACCUCAGUGGUCUCACUUCCACAAUAAAUACACAGAGUAACAGAAUGGUUGCAGAAACAGAAACCAUCCUUCUGCUGCACAAAAAAACAAACAACACCUCACCAUCAAGGAUAGACAUCACCUUAGGGUAAAGUGUUGGGAAAAGGUAUUCCAAGCAAAUGAACCUAAGAAGCAAGUGUGUAGUUAAACAAAACCAAUCAGAAAAGAUAAGGAAGGACUUGCAUGCUUAUCAAAGGAAAAAAAUUCAAGAGAACAUAGCAAUUUUUAGUAUCUAUGAUCCAAAUAGUAGGACACCCAAGUUCAUAAACACUAUUACAGCUUUAAUUACAUAUUGAUGCUCUGAUAUUGGGGGACUUCAGCAUCCCACACUCUCCAAUAAACAAGUCAUCCAGACAAAAACCAGAAGUGCUGGAGCUAACUGAUGCUAUACACAGAACAUUUCACCCAGUCACAAAAGGAUAUACCUUCUCCGCACGUCCAGCAUUGACCACAUACUUGAACAGAAAGCAAGUCUCAGGACAGAUUCAGAAAAUUGAAAUAACACUCUGCAUUUUAUCUCGACUACCAUGGAUUAGGGCUGGACAUAAUAGAAAUAACAGAAAUUACACACUCAUGGAAACACAGUGCUGAAUGAAAAAAAAAAAUGGGUCAAGACAAGUUAAGAAAUUUAAAACUUUAAAGAAUUGAAUGAAAUCGAAUAUACAAUAUACCCAAACUUAUGGAGACACAAUGAAUACAGUUCAGAGUGACUAAGUGCUUAAGUUUUAAGAAAAUAAAAAUAAAAAGGAGACAUCUCAUGUUAGUAACUUCAAUAGCACACAUGAAAGCUCUAGAACAAAGAGAACAAAUCACGCCCAAAAGGAGUAAGCAGCAGUAACUCACUCAUCAAACUCAGUUCUGAAAUCGAUAGAAAUAAAUAACAACAAAAAACAAUAAAACAAAGACUUGAUUUUUUUUUGAGGAAAUCAGUAAUAUCGACAAGCUCUUAUUCAAAUUAAGUGAAAGGCAGAAAGAAAAUAUCCAAAUUAACAAAAUUAGAAAUAAAAAGGGAGACGUAAGAACAGACACCAAGGAAGUCCAGAGAGUCCUAAGGACAUACUUCAAAUAUUGAGUUGGAAAACCUUAACAAAAUGGGUAAUUUCCUCUAUACAUACCUCUUACCAAAGUUAAAUCAUAAUUGGAUAAGCAGUAACUGCUCAUGAAUUAGAAGUAGUAAUUAACAGUCUUCCAGCCUGAUGGUUUUAGUGCAAAUUCUUUCAUACAUUGGAAGGAAAAUUAUUACCAAUACUUUAAGUUAUUGUACAAAGUGGCUCAUAAGAAACAUUGUCCAGCUUGUUUAAUAGGCUACAGUUACUCUGAUACCACACUAUAGACCCAAUAAAGAAAAUUAUAGACCAGUUUCCCUUAUGAGCACAGAUGCAAAAAUUCUUAGCAAACUGAAUUUUAAAAUAUAUCAAAAUUAUCAUCUACCAUGAUCAACUAGGCUGCAUUCCACAGAUAAACAUAGGUAAAUCGAUAAAUCUAAUCUAUUAUAUAAACAGACAGAAGUCACAUGAUCAUUGAAUGCAGAAAGGCCUUGGAUAAAAUCCUUCACGGUAAAAUUUCUGGAGACUUUUAUACAGGGUGAUAUAUCAACAUAAUAAAGGUAGUUUACAGCCAGCCCAUAGGCAUGGCCAACAUGAAAUUGAAGGGAAAUAAGCUCAAAGUAGUUCCAGAAAAAUCAUGAGCAAGUCAAGGUUGUCCACUUUCUCCAUACUAGUCAGUGCAGUACUUAUACUAGUCAGUGCAGUACUUAUACUAGUUAGUGCAGUACUUAUACUAGUUAGUGCAGUACUUGAAGUUUAAGUAAAGCAGUACAAUAAUUGAAGGAGAUCAAGGGAUGCAAACUGGGAAGGAAGAAGUCAAAAUAUCUCUCUUUGCAGACAAUAUGAUUGUAUAUAUAAACAACCCUAAAAAUUCCACUGGAGGGUCUGGAGAGAUGGCUCAUUAGUUAAGAGCACUGACUGCUCUUCCAGAGGUCCUGAGUUCAAUUCCCAACAACUACAUGAUGGCUCACAACCAUCUGUAAUGGGAUUUGGUGUGUCUGAAGAUACCUACAGUGUACUUAUAUACAUAAAAUAAAUCUUUUUUUAAAAAUUCCACUGGAAACCUACAGUUGAUAAACACAUUGAGCAGAGUGAUUGGAUACAAAAUUAACUC
rnacentral:lncRNA from 1 species